UUUUGUAGUGUAGAGAUUUACAAUUAUCACCUCACACAUUGCAGCAUCAUUAACGUACGUUACAGAAAGCCUCCAUUCGGUUAUGACAGAUGUUAGUGCUGCCAUCUUGUGGCUAGAUUAUACAAUGCAGUCCUUGAAUUGAAUGAAUAUGAAUUGUGUAAAUAAUUUAAAUUUUAAACAUACUUGUAUUUCAGCUACAUUAACUCAGCCAGUAAUGUUUAUAUCCAUGUGUCUACAUGUGUGUUUAGACUGGUAUGGUACGCUGUGAACACUGCUGUUGGGACACCUGAUUACAUUUCUCCAGAGGUUUUAAUGUCUCAAGGAGGGACUGGUUAUUACGGUCGUGAGUGUGACUGGUGGUCUGUUGGUGUUUUCAUUUAUGAGCUUCUAGUGGGUGAGAAGUGUCAGCUUCAUAUGCAUCUCUUGAAAUUUUAUUUCAGUGUUCUCAUAAUCAAAUGUUUUCUUCUGUCGAUCUGGGCAGGCGACACUCCAGUUCAUUCCGAGUCUCUGGUGGGCACAUAUGGAAAGAUCAUGGAUCACAAGAACAUCUUAACUUUCCCAGAUGAUAUUGAAAUGUCAAAGGAUGGCAAAGACCUCAUCUGUGCCUUUCUGAGUAGCAAGGAGGUGAGGCUUGGCCGGACUGGAGUGGAUGAAAUAAAAUGUCACCCCUUCUUCAAGAACAAUCAGUGGACCUUCGACACCAUAUGAGACACAAAAAAAUGCCAAAAACAGACACCCAAAACCCUACGCAUGCUGCGCGACACAGGGGCGUGAACCUGCAGGACCCAGACGCACAGUCCACUCGAAGCUGCUGUGGGAACUAAAGGCCUGUCAACACUCCAUCAUGGGAGACCACGACACCUUCUCCUCCCUAAAAUCCCACCCUUCACCCUUUCACCUCCCAAGACGGAUAAGGAAAGAGAAAGAAAGAGAAAGGAAUACCAGGAAGAGCUCGAGGAAAACGCCUCACUCGUGCCACAAAGAGAUUUUUCAAGGAAGACUUCUGGUGGACGGGGCUGAAAGCGAACGGACGAUGGACUCUGUCAUGUCUGGCAGUAAAUAUGGAUUCUGUAUUACUUUCAAGUCAACAAGAAUUUCUACCUCAGUUCAUCCUCAUUAUGCAAGCACCAUGUAGAGAUAAAGGAUUGGAAAAGAGAUAAAGGAACACAGAAUGGACUAAAGAGUUAUUAUUAACCAACAAACCUUCCCAUUCUCAGCCCCUGGAAGGGUCCGUAAUGCCCCUUUUAACAUUCAGAAGUCUUUAAGCGAAAUCUACACUGAGUAUCCAUAUGGUCUGGGCUCUCCCAUUUAAUCUCAACUCUAACACUGGAAGAAAGUCAGCACCUUAAACUUAAACUAACCCUUCAGUUAUUCAUCUUUGAGCCACAUCUACUAAAUUUAUAACACAAAGGAACACCGAAGCAGAACUUCAUAUGUUUUAUUUCAGCUUUAUUUAUUUUUAAACCUUUGUUUGAACUGGUCUCCCUUUGCGCAGCUCGUCAUUCAUCUAUGACCCAUAAAGUAUUAUAGAAAGUCAAUGUUGUCUUCCCUAUCCCAUUUCCUUCUCCCCACAGCAUUGACCUCAAAGUUCAGUGUUGAUGUUCACAAAACAAGAGCGAGCUCUACGAUGCCUUCUUAAUCUUCUUUUAGCUUUGUGUAAACUACUGUUUGAGAGUCAACAAAUUAUUACAUAUAUUUGCACCAAUCAGACUGAUCCAAAAUCAUUUUGCUUCAUGAUUAAUUGCAAAAUAUCAUUACACAUUUAGUUGUCUGGAUGCGGAAGUCACACAACACCAGUCUCAAUAUGUGUUAUUAAAAAGCAACAAAAAAUAUUCAAGCACCCACUAAUCAACAAAGUGAAUGAUUGAGCACUGGGAUGGCAAAUAUUGUGGGAAUGCAGAUUUUUGCCCACAAAGCCCCUGAAAAAGUGGAAAAAAACAGAAGUGCCUACUCCGUUUUUUCCGUGUUCUUUGUUUUGGGCUUGAUUGAGGUCGGCUGACCAUCUUAAAAGUAGCGGUUUUGAGACGAUCCCGAGGUAUACGGGCAAUAAGCUGUGAGAAUAACUUGCGGAGCGUGCUAGUAAACAGAGGAGUCGUUUCAGUCUUGUUUUAUGAAUGCUGUUUGUUGAUGUGUAUUAAAAAGAAUUUUAUUUCAGAUUGAUUUUAGUCAGUAAUUUAAUGGGUUACCAAUACAUUUAUAUGGUCAUUUAGGGAAUGAAUUAGGUAUCAUGAUAAGGUGUCACACAGCUAGAAGUCAUUUGUCAUGUGUCUUCAGGUCCACCUUUUUUGUGGAAUAAGAUCUGAUCUCGUUAACACCUCUGUCAAUUUUAAAUAAAGCUGUGCUGUUCUGCUAUGAAUGAAACGUG